GCAUUGAAAAAGCCAUCCUGUUUCAUUAGGCUCUUCUGCUGGGUGACUUACUGCUGCCAGGGGUUCCUUUUCUGCAAAACUCUUGCAUCAGAUUUGUAAUGAAACUAGCAAAAAAGAGCUACCAGCAAGACUCAGACUUUAACUGGCCUGAGAGGAUACUUCUUCCCUAGGCCCCUUUCUGAUACAUUUAAUCAAGGAAUGCAUAAAUUUGACCCCAAAUCUUGACUUACUCUGAAAGUAUUACCACGAAAUGAAGAGGGAUGUGUUUGAUUUUUUUUUUUUCCCUUUUGAAACGUAGUUCUAAAGUCAGAUAGAGUGCCUGUGUAGUAGGGAGAGCUUCAGUCCUGUCAGUAAGUUUCUCUGGACAACUUCUGGUCCUGCCUACUGCGGUGAUUGUGGCUUGCAGAGGAAAUCAAGGCAGUGGUGGUCAGAGCCGUGUGGCAGUGGAGCCACAGCAGACCUCCAUCACUGGUGGUGGGUGACAGAAACCUGGGGCAGCCGUGCUUUCUAGUUGUAUUGGUGUGGGUAAUUGGUCUGUUACUGCUCCAGGCUUGCUCUUCCUAGAUUGGUUUCACUCUGACAGAGGGGUACAGAAGUGAGACAUCCUGGGGAGGAGGGGAGGAGAUGAUGCAAGGCCAUGAAAACAGGGCUGGGGCUAUUUCAUGCUAUGUACUUAUAAGGGCAAAUGAGGUGGAACUGGCCUCUUGGCUCAGUCUGCUCUGAGAGGUGGUUUUGGAAACAUUGCAGAAGGUUGAGAAAGUAUCUAACCAGUUAAAGGAAAUUCAGCAGGGACAAGAACUCCUUCACCAGAAGAGUAAGAGAAGACUCUCACUUUUAACCUGCCUCAUGAGAAAGAUGUGCCUGCUCUGGGAAGGGCACUCACUCACCAACAACCACAACAGCUUUUUGAAAUGUUUAAUUCCCCAGAAGACAAAACAGCAUAGCCCACUGAGGAGAGGCAGGAUCUGUGCACCAAAAUACAUGGACAAGCAUGUGGUUAUGGAGGUACCUGCCUUAGCACAGGGCUCCACAGCCCUGCCCUGCUGUUCCAGCACUGAGAGCUCCAGCCCUGCCCCAGAGUUGCCUGCUGGGGAGGAACAGUGUGUAUGGCAGGCUGGGAACCCCUGCUGCAUGCCAAUCCCGUGCUGCUGGUUCUGCAGGGAAAGGGGGCCAGCUUCUCCAGCCCUGUGCUGCUCCCUGACCUGACAGCUCUCUCCUCAUGUGCCUUAAGCAUCACCCUGACCCUGUGUAAUGCUGGACUUCCCUCAGCCCAGGCUUGCAGCAGGGUCCUGUGUCAAAGCUGUUGUGUCGCUCUUGUCUUGGUGCCCGAACCCAGGGGGAGCUCCCUGGCUUGGGGAGGGCAGGAGGAAAUUUUGUUUCUGUUUCUGAGUUCCCCUCUCUAUCAGUGCCCGCCUUUGGGUGGGACCAGGACCCGGGCCGAGGUGAGGAAGUUGAUGCCACCCUGACACCAGCACCUCUGGCUUAGUGUGUUGCACAGCCUGUUACACCCUCUGGUGUGUGGUGAGCGGGGCUAAAGCUGCCUUGGGGUGAGACCCCUUUGUCCCCAGCCUCUGAGUGCAAUACAAGGUAGUCACAAUGACAGACAGAAAUGCUAUGAAUUGCAUGGUGGAGAAUAAGGGGUUUUUUUACUAGCUCUUCUGCUUUUCAACAGUGAAUCAGCUUUGCCCUUUUUUCCAUAGUGUUAGUGCUAUAAAUAAUCCAGGCUGGAAGCUCAAGCUGCAUGUUUGGGUGAACUAUCAUGAAAGGUGAAUCCCUCUCCUGCUCUUAAGGCAAAUGGUAUUUGCAAUCAGCCUGAAACUUCCCCCCCACACACACCGCCCCCCAAAAAUCCAUCCCUCAGCCAGGGGGAACCCUGAGAGAUUCCAGCAGUUCUGUAGCUGGUGGUGACCACUUAGGUUCCUGUCAGAAACACGGGUGUGAACUGCAGCUGGCAAAUGUCUGCCCAAUGAAGGAUUGCUUCAAAAUCAAGCAUGGUCAAUAUAAAAAGUCACCCGUGGUCUCCAUUUUCGAAUGAGACCCUACAUCAACAAAAACCUGAGAUCAAUACAUCCAUUUUGCUGACUUUGUAGCUUUUGAGAUGGUGACUACUUGCUUACUUUAUAUGCCUCAGCUAUUUGAACUCCCCCUCCCGUCCUCCAAGCUACUGACUCAUUUCCUCCUCUAAAACCUUCCUUUUUUAGCCUUUCGCUCUGAAGUAUUUAGUGUCUGUUUUGAGCUGCAUGCUCCAUGCCUUACUUAGGCAAACUCCUACAUCAAAGCCCUGCAAGCCAUGGUUUUCUACCAUGGAAAUCGUUUGUUUUCCCUGAUGGUUUCAGUCCUGAGGGGCAGCCUUGGCUACUGACUGUGCUCGUCGGCAAAUUGCUGCUUUGCUGUUGGAAAUCGGGGAGGCAGACAAUCAGCAAAGCAGCUGGUGAGCUGAGGCUGCCGCUGCUUAUGCUAAUUGCUGUUGUCUCCCUCUUAGCCCCGCUUCCCCCAUCUGCCUGCAUCCACCUGCCGUCUUUUCAUCCACUUUUACCCUGAGCAGGGAUCACAGAGGCUCCUGUUUGGCUGAACAACCACAGAGCGCCCGGACCCUGACUCUGUGCUGUCUGAUGCCGCAAAGGAGCAGGCAGUGUCCCCAGUGCACGGUGGUGACCCGGAGCUUUGGUCGUGGCUGAUGGAUGCUGCUGUAACAACACUAGCUGAGUGUGCCUGAAAUACAGCGCCUUUUUCUCAGGGCUUGUGGAAUAUUGGCUCUGUGGUCUUGGCGUCGCAAGGAUCAGCAAAGAUAAUUUUAGACAGGAACAGAAAGUCUCUGUAAACCUUACAGUCAUAGCUAUUUCACUGGCAGGAAAAAAAACCCCACGAGGCGCCCAUGGCUAUGCAUUGCUGAAACAUUCUGCUCAGCAGGUGCGCUGGAGUAAAAAUUUAAAGGGAAAUUUGGGGACAGGAGAAUCUAAGGGUGAUUUCCAGAAAUUGCUGUGAUGCUCCAUCCCUUUAGUGAGGAGGUGGUGCAGCAGACAGGAUGCAGGAACCAGAGCCUGGUAUUUGGUCCAGAGCCCUAUCUAGUCCAUGGCUUGAGUCUGGACAAGCUGCUUUUCCCCUUUGCAUUAGUUUCCUGUUUUUGAAGUGUUAACUUUGUUCCUGCUUUUUCGGUAUUACAAUUUGAGAUUUAGUGCAGAUCAGAGCUAGAUGUUGCUUAUCAAUACUCCCUAUUUUUACAGUAAUGAAAAGGCUGUUCCUAAAUUGCUACAGAUGAAUGCCAGAACUCAUAUUCCCCUUAAUUUGCUGUCAACCUCCACAAAUGCUGCAGGUUGCAAUCCUUCUGACUUCUGCAUGGUAAGAACUGCAGGCCAUAAGCAACCAGACUAAAAUUUGACCUUGCUUGCUGCUGUAAAACUGGGUGAAUUUUAUCAGCCUCAUCAGAAUUGGUCUGGAUUGAGUGAGAUGGGGAAGUUAACUCAGUGCUUCAUUACCCCCGGGGCAUUUUCUCCACUAGAAAGACAAAGGAGGAAAUAACACAAGAAGGGAGCCCAGCAGUGGAACAGCUUCAUGUUAAUUUAAGCAAGAAUGUAAUCAAGCUACUCUCCUACCUGGCUGCUUUUUUUCCCCCGCUUUGGUUUUGUUGCCAGUAAAGCCUGUCUGAAAUACUUUUAAUGUGAGAAUGAAAUGCAUCUUGCUCCAGAAUCAGCCUAAGGGCUGGCCACUGCUCAGCUCUCCCUUAAAUCCUCAAAACAGGCAAUGUACAGAGCUUACAAUGAUGUGUUUGCCUUGCAUACACGGGAAUUGGAUCUUAAAUCCCUGCCAGUCUGAGAAGGGAGGCUCGCCUUGAGUACAGCGAGGCCUUGAACCAGCGGGUAAAGCUUUAAGCAACAUCUCUGCCUGCAUUACCCGAGCGCUUUGCAGCUUUCCCUGGGAUUGUGCUGUAGCCGUGAGACAGGGCUGUGUGUGCAGUCCCUUUUCUAGAGGGGGAGGGCUGAGCCCAGAGAGGCUGCACGGCUCCCACAGCCUCGGGCAGGAAAUCUGUGGCGAGUGUGAUGAAUUCUUCGCUGCCUUAGCAGGGUAACACCCGACCCUUCGGGCCAUCUCUGCUCUGCGCAUGGAAGGAGAUCGUGCUGCUACACUGAAUGCGGCACGACUGCAGGGAUUUCUUGGAGAAUAAGCAUUUGUGGCUCAUGUGGGCUUUGUUCCAGGUGUGGAGGUGGUUGCUGCUGCUGCCAUUAGUAAUUGCUAUCUGCAAUGCCAUUAAUAAUUAUUUUAUUUCCUGAAGUUGUGAACCCCCACUCCUCACACUCUGUAACCCAGACAGAAGGUUGUUGUAGCAGUUUAGUUUUCUUAUGACAGGGUUUGUGCUCAGCUGCGUCAGAAUAAUGAAACCUUUUGGAGGUGUGUUGCUCGUGCAGGAUGGCCCCUUGGUUUAGCUUGGGAACUGCAGGUCUGUCUGUGUUUGUCAGGGCUGUGGCCACUUACUGAACCUGUCUGGGUUUGGCUCUCUGGAAUGGAGGGAGCUUGGCUCUUGUUAAAAUUGGCAGUUCAUUUUAUGGAGGGCUUCUGUGGGUAAGAUUAGAUGAAAGUUGAAUUAGCCCUACCCCUUGUAUAGGGCAAGGUGAUGUACAGGCAUAGACUGGAAAAUCCCCAGCCCUGGUCUGCUUACUGUCUAACCAUAAGAAAUACAUGGGGUAAUGAAAAAGGAAGCAAUGAGACAUAUUAGUCAGCAUGAUGGAUGUUCACCAACAGCAGCCUUAUAGCUGUGGAGGAUUUGCUAGAGAGUAGUGGAAAGCCCUUCAAAACAGUCAAAAGAUAAUUAAGUAGCAUUGACUAUGAUUUCUGAGGAAUGCUCUGGGAAUUUAGGGUGGUUAUGGGAGGCAUGAGUUGCAGAGGUGGGUCUGGAGAGGUAAGCACUCAUUUCCCAACAGCAGCCAUGGCUGCUGUGACACUGGAGAAAAGCCACAGACUGGCAGUGCCUGUGGAGCACAACUGGGAUGGGCUGCAGGACAAAUCUGCCCAGAGCCUGGGUCUGGAUGGGUCUGAGUGCUGUGGGAGCUGGCUGUGCCAGCAGUGAUAUGGGUGGUGCAGGGGAGAGCAAGCAUAUCAGUGUUUAUGCCUUCCAGUACAUCAGGUAAUCUCAAAAAGGGAUUUGCUUUCCUGGUGAACCUGAGCCUCACACAUGGAUGGAUAACACUCCUACCACUACUGUCACCUGGGCUGUGCCAGCUGAGGUGCAGGAGUAGGAGGACAUUGCAGAGAGACACACUGGGAAGGAAGAAGGUCUUGCUGUGUUUCCUGCAAGUGUGCAGUGGAUGGGAAUCUGACAGUUUCCUUUACCUCUCUCCUAUCUGUGUUGUGGGCUUGCAGGAUGUGGACAGAUUAUGAAUGGUGUCAAGAGUGGCUUGAUAGCUGUAUCUCUGCUCUGGCUGUAUUUAUAGCUCUGGGUUGACAGCUGGGUCAUGGUGAGCUAUAUAUACCUGCUGUGGUUGGUCUUGUCCAGGCAAGUGGCUGUGGGAAGUCUCCACUGAAAAACAGGCUAGUGUGAGUGGAACAUUCCUUUCCCACCACACUCUUUAGAUCUGUUCUCUGUGCCUGAAUCUGUACUGGUGGCCUGUGCUUGGUGUGCUGGCUCUUUUCUGGCACACAGUGUAGAAAGGCUGGCUGCUGUGGGGGUAUGGACCAUCUGGGUGAGCCUGUGUAUUCCCAGUCUUCAGCAGGCAGCAUUCUCUUCUGAGCUUUUGCAUUGCCUGAGUGGCACAGCUCACAUCUCUGGAUGGGUGGUCCCCCAACAAGCUGCAUGUGGGUGCUGGGAUGGAGCAUGGUUACAGCAGCAGUUCUGAAGGGAGCCAGGAAGCACAGCUUGCCAGUCGAUGGUGUAUGGGCUGAAUCUGGCCAGGCAGAGCAACUUCUUCCCUGAGCAGGCUACCCUGUCAUCCUUCCCUAGGGCUCUGACACUUCCUCUUGGUCAAAAACACUUGAAUGUAACCAAAACACAAUUCCUGGCCAGUGUUUCUCCUGCCAGAUUGCCCAUCACAGAAGUCUUUCUCCCAACAUCUGAUGCUUUGCUCUUGCACUGCUCAAAAAGCUUCCCUGCAGCUCCAUGGGCUUCCAGGCUCAUUUCCCCUCCUCUCCUGGAUCCCGACUGUCUCAGGCCCAGAUUCAGCAUCAGCCUCGCCAUAUCAAGGUGGAAGUGGCCGGGCAGCUGGGAGGUGUCCGGCUGGGGUGGCCGGGCCCCGGGGCAGAGCGAGGCUGUCUCUCCCCUCCUCCCAGCAGUGAGAGAGCAUCGGGCGCCGCUGAGCGGAGGGAGGGCUGAUGUCCCAGAGCAGCUGCCUGCUGGUGACUGAAGGCACGGCACCAUCUGGUGGCAUGAAAGGAAUUUGUCUGUAAGUCUGUCAGAGAGCAGUCCUGACUUUCUCAGCCAGAUGCAAACUAGCAGUUUCCAACUUUUUUUUUUUUUCUCCUUUUUAUUUUCCCCUCUUCUUCCCUCCCCUCUUCUGAGGCUUUGGGUCCCUCUGUAGCUUUGCCCACCUGUCUGAUGUUAUUGUUGACUAUUUCUUACAGAGACAAACUUGUCCAGCUCUGGGGCAUUCCUGGAUCAUGGUGCAAUUUCUCAGUCUGGGAAGAAGCGUUAGAGAGCUGCAGAGGGCACUGCCCAAGGGCAGGCUGCUGCAGCCUGAGAUGUGACAGCUCUGCUCCCUUUAGAGCUGUCCUGGGUCGAAUCAGAAGUCUGUCUAGCCUGGUGUCCUCUUCCUGGCAAGAGAUACCUGGGAAGAAAGGCACUCAGUUGGCAGCAGGAGAUCAUCUAGAUGGUCUGCCAUCUUCCCAUGUGCAGGCAGGAAUCUCCUGAGUUUGCCAUUGUGCCUCUACUUUUGAUAACCUUCUGUGGAUUUCAUCCUUUCUGGUUUUGGCUCAUCACCACCUGAACCUGUGAAGACUCUGGGCAUUUGCUACACCUGCUGGAGGUGUAGCUGUGCUGGGGCUUUAAAGAGCUGCCCAAGGUUGCAUGAGCAUUAUUCAUCUGUGUGCUGGGGCUGCAGGGCAGAGCACCAGCCAGAAAGGAUCGGUGACAUGUCACUGUUGUCUCUUUUCCAGGUCCCUUGAGGCACUAGAUAUGCCAGGAGUUUCCAGAUUGUGGGUCUGCUGAUCUUCAGGCACAAAGCAGUGGUGGCACCCAGCUCAGAACCAGAUGUCAAGAAUCUCUAAUUCCAGCUGUUUGGUGACUGCAUGACUCCUGGAGUAGAGGACACUUUCACCAUCUAAACUCAAGAGUGUGGGCUUCACAACAGAGGAUGGAUUGUUGGGCUGUUCUCUUGAGCAUGGGUGAGAGGGUUUUGGAGAAAUGGCUUUCACGUGGGGUCAGGGUCAGAGUUCUGCAGAGGCCUCUGCCUUCAGUGGGAUCUCACUUCUGCCACAGGCUUUAACUCACCCCAGCUCUGAGUCCCACACAGUGACUGAGCUGGUUGGGCCCAGGCAGAGAAGAGAGAAGAGCAAGGGGUGAGAGCUGGAGGCAUCUCUGGACCCUGCCAGAUCACCAGUCUGGAAUCAGAAAGGGAGGAAAACAGGAGCAGCUUAGAGGUCUCAUGAUUCUUUGGCUGCUCUCUUAGCCUCCUCUGUUCUGUGGAUUCCCAGCAAACCUCAGCUUCUGCUUCAUGCAAAGGGCUGUGCUUCCCCUGGUAUUGCUUCUCUCACAGUGAGAAUCCUUGUACUUUUUCUUCCCCAAAUCUUCUGCUUGGGAAUGUCCAGUUACACAGGCAUUGUGUCUUAAGGAGGCUGAUUCACUGACUACCCACAUGAUUCCUGCCCUUGGCUGAUGCUCACUUGGCUAUAGAAACACCCUUGGAAGGUCCCCAGUGUUGGUCAUGAUGAAGAAGAUGGGAGUUUCCAAGUUGUCUCUUUAAGGACUUGUAGAAGCAGGUGUUGGAGUUCCUGAGUUUCAGGCAGGUGAAGUAUCAUAUAGAUGUUUUCUGCAUUUUUCUGCAAUGAUCUCUAUGAUUGUAAGAGGUCUGCAACCUUUUACUCUUCUAAAGCAGCCUGCUGGCCAGCAUUCAUAAUAGGAAAGGUAAGACUUAGUUUCUCUUGUGAUUCUGGAAACUGGGGCCUAGCAGCUGCUUUCAUCUGGUUGAGAAGAGGGUAGCCUGGUUUUCAUCUGGAUUAAAACACCCCUUAACCUUGUGCAAGGCUGUGUCAGCAAAGGAGUGAAUUACAUCCAAACUUUAGACUGUUGAAGUGACCUUGAAAUAUUGGACCCUUUUACAGCCAAAAUCCUUCAAAGUGGUGGGGAAGAGAGCCUGCAUUCCUGACCAUUAUUAAAGUGGACAUUGUUAAUCACAUGUGAGGUUGGAUUAUUGCAUGCAUGGAACGAGUCCUUGAUGUUAAUCACUCAGAAGUACAUGAAAUACAGUUUUCAGUUUAUUAACAAUGACCUCCUGGAGGGACUCUCCUCCUGUGGCUGAAAGAAAAUAUGCUGAGGGAAGAAAUAAAGAAAUACUAAUGCGAUUAAAUGAGAGGUAUUACGGCAUAUUUUCAGUCUCUUUCUCCGGAUUCUGGGCCUCGAGUCAAAUCUGAUUCAAUGUUUUCAGCUAUUUUGUGUGUUCUUGCCCAAGAAUCUUGCUUGUACUGGCUUUAUAAGCCAUCAGUUGUACUAGAAGUUCAAUUAAUGGCCAUAUUGACCUCAAAUUCACAGUUUACUUCUCCAGGAAGGAUCAGAUCUUCAAGAACAAUGUAGAAAGAUCCUACAGGAUCCCCACCCAGCAUGAGCUGACUUCAGUCCUGUGAACUCCAAAUGAUUUCUUGGGUUGUGGCAUGUAAACAUUGAACUCCUUGUCGGUGUCUGCAGAUGCAUCAGCGUAGGAGGAGGAAGCAGCUCUUUUAACCACUCUGAGUUUCAACUCAUUGUAUAGCAGGAAAAGCAAGAUCCAGACAGAGGGACAAGCAGCAGAGAGAUGCAUUUAGUGCACUGCCUUCCUGUCCACUGCUUCAGUUUUUCAUCCAAGCAAAGUUUUAUGCUGGAAUUUGAAGGAAAAAGACAAGAUGUCUUUGUGAAUAGUUUAGAUGAGCAUUUUGGGGGAGAAUUAAUUUUUUUCCUGGGAAGCCAACAAAGGGGUCAGGAGAUAUGUCCUCAUUGUUGAACGUUAAGGUUAGCUAAAGUGUUACUUCUCUUCUGCUGUUUGCAUCAAGAAAGCAUUACCCCACCUGAGAGACUGGCAUUAUGUGGCUGCCUGUGUGUUUUCGAGCCCAGCACCCUCCAGUCUUCUUCCUUUGUACCAGCUGGGCACAGUGAGGCUUUUGCUUUGCUCAGCACAGCAGGACUUGUAGGUGGAUAAUGCUGCUUGAUGCUGAAGUGGCUGUGAUGUCCUUGUAAUGACUGCCUCAAGGCAUGUUCAGCUGCUCUCUAUUUUCCCAGUGAAGUGCAGCCAUGGCAAUCAGGCCUUUUUGUUGUUGAGUGAUUUCCUACGACUUAAAAAACUGAUCAGCUGGAGUCCUGAAGCUUAACAGCCAGCAUCCAAGUGCCCUAUGGAAUACUUUAGCCUGACACCAAAUGAUUCAGAGUAACUGGAAAGAAAAUACCAAGUGCCAGUGUGGUUACUUAAUUCCACACCCAGCUGCCUAACUUCAUUCUGUCCUCUCUGAUUUUGGAGGUCCCUGGCACUGGGAGAAAAGAAGGGCUGAAUGCAUAAUGUCAGUGCAUUAUCCAGACUGCCUACCUAAUCAGAAAGUAAUGCUCAAACAGCUGAGUGGCAUUUUGGCUUUUAAAAAUCUCUCAAGGAUACAGAAGCACACAUCAUUUUUAUUACCCUUCUUGCUCUCAUCCAGGAAGGAUUUUGUUUAUUUGAUAGGUGUCUGUGUGUGUUUGUAUGUGGAUGGUUUUAUUAGUUUUUAUUAUUUUAUUAUUUAUUUAUUACUCUUAGUCCAAUAAGAAACCUAUUUUGCAUAAUAAGUAUCUCUGCAUAUGACGUGUUGCUGCUGGGCUGGUGCAGUGAUGUAUCAUCACAACCUUAGGGAUUUUGUUUCCCCUCAGACAUCUCAUAAUAAAUUACAGGGUUUUUUUCAGGUUCCAGCCCCUGGGAUUCAUGUGAACAUAUGCAAACUUUGAUAGUCAUUAUAUUACCUUAUGAUCUGACUGCCAGUUUGACAGAGGAAAACUUGGACAUCUAACCUUAAUUUAUGAUUGAUGAUUUUUAAAAAGGAGUCAAAAAGCAGAUUAAAAAGGCAUUUAGAGUGUAUUGGGUCUGAGAUAUUUCAAAGGUAAUCUCCUACCUGUAGGGAGCGUGAUUAUUUUUCAUGAUCUGAGGUUUGCUAUCUCAUUACUGGGUGACGACAAAAGCCCUUGUUCCUCCUUGUGAGAGCCAUGCCGAGAUUAGAGCUCUGCAGGCUGUGCUUUCCAGCCCUGCAGGAACCAGCCAAAGGAAAGCUGUUAUCUUUAGACAAAUGCAGAUAGCAGGCCUGGAGAGGAGGUUCUCAGAUAAAGCAUGAGGGGCUGCCACAGUGGAGAUUUUUCUGGGAAGUUCAACCAAACUCUGGAAGUGUGUUCAGAGAAUUACCCUGGGAAUUGCCAAAGGGAGAGCAGGUGCCAAAGGCUGUGGGGUUUCCCUCACUGGAGAUACUCAAGAACAGUCUGGACACAGUCCUGUGCCGUGUGCUCUGGAUGACCCUGCUUGAGCAGGGACAACAUGGACCCACUGGUUCCUUCCAAGCUGACCCAUGCUGGGAUUCUGAACUGUGAUCCACCAACACCACAGCACUGUGGCUGAGCUCUUAGCAAUGAGACACCUGAUCCAUGCAGCUUUUCCUGCAGGAGCUAGACACAACUUCCCAGUAAACUGCAGUGAAAUGAAAAUUUCCUUGUCCUUUCCCUGUUGUCACGUUCAUCGAAGAAUUAUUAUCCAGCUGGGAAUCUGAGAAGGAAUUUUAUUUUUUCUCCUUAUGUUUACACAUUUUAAUUAUUCCUGUUCAGAUUAAUCUAGUGCAUUAGGUCUGUUUUUUACAGACUUGUCUUACAUAAGAUUGCUGGGAGAAGGUUGUGCAAGUCUUUGUGAACAGCUCCACUGGUAAGUGCUGACCUCCUAGGUGGAAUGACCCAUUAUUUGCUAUUCCCUCCACCCUCUUAAGAUUUCUUCUUAAGGCUUGUGCUGGUCACAUUUUACAGUUCUGUGUCAUCCACUGUGUUAGGUGCAGUGAUCUGCUGUGGCUUUCUGUCUCCUUGCUUGGAUGACUGAAACUUUUGAACUGGAGCGAACUGACAGCAGCUACUGGAUACGAAGCAGUUGCCUCACUCACAAAUAACCAGUUCUUUGAGUAAAAAUACUGCUCUGAAAGUGAGUCUUUACUUGUUCACUUGAGCUUGCUGAAACCUGAAGGAUUGAUAACUAUAAAUGUGGGCUGCAGCAUGGCCUGUACAUUAACUGUAUGUUAAUUAAAUAAUGAUCAGUGAUGCAGUAAUCUUA